rnacentral:misc_RNA from 1 species
UUUUUCCCCCUUAAAACUAAUUAUAAACAGCAAGUAAAAAGUGCUGCAAAGCUACUAAUUAUAUAUUAAUUAAUUCUCCGAAGCUUUUUCCCUUCAACAUCUUAAGUCAUAAUUGUUGAAUUUAAGUCUUCAAAGAAAUUUACUACAUUUUUUCUCUAUAAAUAUAUUAAAUCUACCCAUCAUUUGAAUAUUUAACGAGCAAUUUCCAAUUUUGUUGUUGUGUAGCCAAGUUGUUGUUCCAUUUCCCAACUCAAUUUUGGUGCCACCCCAUUAUGCUUUGGUACAUAAUCCUCAAGCUUAGACAUGAGUUCUUGGGCAGUUGGGGCAGAAAUAAUGAUGUGACGGGCAGAGGGUGUGACAAAGCCUUCAUCAACAGCUUUGUCUAUAAAUGAUAAUAAUGAAUUAUAGUAGCCAACUAGGCAUUCAUGAUAAACCAGUAGGUUUACUUAAUGUAGAUGGCUACUAUAAU